UAUUACGUUAGCUACUUUUAAAAUACUUUUAAGUCAUUUGGAUGGUUGGUUAAGUUUUGUUAGCUUAAUUUAAAACAUUGUUUAAUCGUGUGAAUGGCUGGAGGGAUAAGGUAAUUUAAUUUCGAACACUGUUCAAUUAUUUGAAUGAUUGGUUGUAUACAAUAUUCAUUUAAAAUACUGUAUAUUGGUGUAAAUGUUUGGGUAAGUUACGUUAGCCACAUUAAAAAUACUUAACGGCGUUCUUCGGGAUAGGUGUUAUUCAAAAAACCAUUAAAUGUUCUUAAUGGAGAACCUUCUCUAGAAAAUUAGCAUUACUUGAAAUAGGGAUAACAAUCUGCAGGUAGAGAAGUAAAGAUUGUGUUAGGUAAGUUCCGGGAAGAGGAGUGGCAGAUUUUGCAUUUAAAACUGCAGAAUAAAAAGUACGAAUUUUUGAAAAAUUUAAAUAUUUAAGCUUUGUGAAACGAUUAAUAACCAUGCAACAUUUUUAAAUAAUCAAUAUUAAUAUUACAAGAGUGACAUAUUUUUAAUUAUAUAAUCUUGAUUUUUGAAAUAAAUGCUUUUUUUUUCGGAUGAGGUUGUACUAACCAGCGAAAUGAUUUUUUUUCCGUAUCUAAACUACCGCGUUAUUAUUUUCCUGCCUAGUAUUUUGUUAGUACAAUAUAUAGUACACAAUAUAUAGUGCACAAAAUAAUUUAUUACGGUUGUGGCAAACAACAGUUAACUGGUGUCACUGCUACAAAAGUUUAACAUUAUUUAGCCAAACUUGUGUUGUGAAUGUAUUACACUGAAAUAAAUAAUAAAAUCACUUCAGGCUAUAUAAAAAAAGAUUGUCAAAAUUAAAUGAUAUCGUAGCUUUCGUCCAUUCGAAACCUAAAUUGGGCGGAGACAAAACAAAAUACAGAAAAAAACUUAUUUUGUAAUAAAUGAGGCAAUAAAAUUAGUUAUAGGUAUCUAAUUUCUUAAUUUAUUUACUUGAAUGGAAAUAAAUUUGCCAUUAGAAUCAUCAUUUGUUGAUAACCGCCGUUCUAACAAAAUGUAAAACUCAGAUUAACGUAUAUUUCCGUAUACAUAGCCUACUUUAGCAAAAUAUCUCCAGAGUGACGUCACAAAUUGCUAGCCAGUGAAAGAGAAAGGUGCGCAAAAGGAUACAUAUAUAACUUCACGAUGAUUCACCCGUUAUGUUCACAGUUGACAGAACAGAAGAACGAAUGAAUAUCAAGCAAUGAUUUGUGUAACAUUUUCUUAAGUGUUAUGAGUACGUAAUAAAUAUUCUCGCAGAAACUGUAUGGUGUUAUGUAGGCUGAAGUAUCUAUUUAUUCGAUUUUUUAUUUAUUAGAAAACAAUUUGAUCCGAUUUCCGCAUAGUAGACGCAGCGUCGCACUGCGUGGCUGCGACUGGUUGAUAAUCGCUGGCUCCUCUGUGACAUUGUGGGCAUUGGUGAAUCAAGCUUGUCGUGAAUGUCAGUGCGCUUGCAAACUGACUCCCCUGCUGCAGCUCAUACACCGGUCGUCACUGGAUUCUGAUGUACUUUGUAAUAAUUAAGAUAGUUUCUGAACCAGAACAGUUGAUAAGCUACGGUCCUGAAUCAAAAAAGGUAAAUUUAAAAUGUGUCGUAACUUUAUCUUUGAGCCUCAUUUAGAAAAUGUUAACAUACUCACCUUUCAUUGUUAGGUACAUAUUUUUUUACACAAUCCCGCAUAACCCUGAAAGUUAUAAAAAUUCUUCCAAUGUAUGAAUUUCCCAAUUACAUACAUAUUGAUAAUGCCGAAUGUGGACUUUAUAUAUAUAUACACAUGCAUACUUACACAUAUAUGUAUAAUAAUUGAAAGAAAAUGUUUGCUUCAAUGUCUCCCCUAUAAAUAAUAAAUGAAUUACCUAUAUGAUUAAAUAUCCGUGUUCUUAGUGGAUAUAACUAGGAAAAUCUGCAUAAUUUGUAUGUAUUUUGGUAGUUAUUAAAAAAGUACAAUUAAACUUACAAUAUUAUGAAUUGUCAUACCUCUAAUGUUAAAUUUUACUCUUGUACAGAUAGCACACUGUAUCUAAGUAACAUAAUUAAGAUGUCACAGAUAUAAUAAUUAAUACUUAAUAAUUUUAUUCGACAAUGUGUUUCCGAUUCAUUUGACUUCUUGCAAAUGGGUUAUAAAUUAAGUAUAACUCCAGAGACGUACCAAAUUAGGUUACCUUGAAAAACUCAUGACGUCAGCGUGUAUGGUUUAUGUGUUAGGGAAAAUUUAUUCAAAUACUGUGUAUUAAAAAAGUGCAUGACAUGGUA